rnacentral:misc_RNA from 1 species
GAUGAAGAACGCAGCGAAAUGCGAUACGUAAUGUGAAUUGCAGAAUUCAGUGAAUCAUCGAGUCUUUGAACGCACAUUGCGCCCCCUGGUAUUCCGGGGGGCAUGCCUGUCCGAGCGUCAUUGCUGCCCUCAAGCACGGCUUGUGUGUUGGGCCUCCGCCCCCCGGCUCCCGGGGGGCGGGCCCGAAAGGCAGCGGCGGCACCGCGUCCGGUCCUCGAGCGUAUGGGGCUUCGUCACCCGCUCCGUAGGCCCGGCCGGCGCCCGCCGGCGACCCCCCUCAAUCUUUCCUGGUUGACCUCGGAUCAGGUAGGGAUACCCGCUGAACUUAAGCAUAUCAAUAAGCGGAGGA